ensembl:lncRNA
AUGUGAUCAAACACAUGCUAAUGGAACAGUUUGAAAAUCUGAAUUCAUCUUCCUUUGUUUGCAUGAGAUCCUAAACAGUUCACACCUUCUUGAUUAAUAACAAGCUCACAUACGCUGCAGAACUUUUUAAAGACAACUAUGGCUGUAAUGAAGAAACAGAGUGCUGAUUCUGAUCAUUCUCCUCCUGCUUUCUGCCAUCUCUUUACUAAUGAGUCGACUGUAGUAUUUUCCUCUCUGGGACCGCAUUGGGCACCUUUUCCAGAACUCUGUCCUGAAACUAUGGCAGAGUUUGUGAGAGGAUCAAACAUCUUCCUGACAAGAGAGCAGCUCAUUUUGUGCAAGGAAACUGCCAGGUAUCUUUACUGGAUGGUAA